UAUAAGAAUCCGUGUACCGGUACAAGGGACCCGAAAAUGUGGAUUUGGUUGGAAAAUUAGUUUUUUUGAGGGGGCUUUUGGGUUUUGUUACAAUAGAGAACUUAAACCCCUCUCUCUCAGCCUCUCACCCUCUCACUCUCCUCAGCUCACUCUCUCUCUACACUCUCUCUCUCUAACCGAAUAGAAGGAGAAGAAGGAGAAAAAGGAAAAGAGAAGGAAAAAGAAGGAAAAAGAGAGGAAGAAAAGGAAGGAGAAGAAGGAGAAGAAGGUUUGGGAGCUCUCCUUUACCUCAUU
rnacentral:lncRNA from 1 species